CUCAUCUUAUUCGGUUGACUUGACUUCUUGUGUUACUCAACGACGCCGCCGUCGAGCAAAAAGAUGUGGGACCACCGGAAGGAAGUGAACGAGAGUUAGACAAAUAGGAAGAGCAGGGGUUUCCCAUACUAAUUAACUUAUUGUUAUCC
ensembl:ncRNA F35H8.11 ncRNA